AGGUCACUGCAGCCAUUUUAUUACACACCCUAUUACACAGGUCUGAAGGUCACUGCAGCCAUUUUAUUACACACCCUAUUACACAGGUCUGAAGGUCACUGCAGCCAUUUUAUUACACAGGUCUGAAGGUCACUGCAGCCAUUUUGCUCCUCCCCUACCUCUUCAAAGAAGAUCCAAGUGGGCUGUAUGUCACAGGUGACGGGAAUACCUUUACGGAUGAGAGCCACAUUCAACUCUUCCUGGAUGGGGAGGAGCUACUCACUGAAGAGCUGGAGGACAUCUCUAUGGGAUUGGGAGUGGCAAUGGGGGGGUCCAUUUCCUUUUUAAUAUUGAGUAUGGAGCAUCAUUAAAAAGCACUACGCUGUUCAUUCAGAAAUGUGUUCUGGGAAUUGAUGAGGGAGAUAAAUUACCAACAAAUGUACGAAUGGCAAACUUUUUGCUGUAGAGGGAUAAGGGAGACCAGAGAUUUCUGUGGCAUCUGCAAGUGAGAUUUCUGGGACUUUUAAAGUCAAUAAAAUGAAUUUGUGACU